AGAAAACCCUUUGGGGAGGUUUUGCUCUGUCACAUGGGGUCACUAUGAGUCAAAAACAACUUGAGAGCACCUAACAACAAGAGAAGACAGGAGGCAAGGAGAGCUGGACCAGUGGGAAGAGGCUUCGUGGAGGAGGGACAUCUAAUGAACAGUGGCUUGGAAAUUAGUGAGUAGGUGAGAGGUUGGAGGGCGUGGUUUAGGGAGCAGAGGACAGAACGUUAGAGUACAGGGUGGGGACAGGCAGAGAGAGAAGCUAGAGUAAAAUAAACCACCAUUGGUUGAAUGCCUACUAUAUGCUACCCACAGUGCCUAGAAAUAACUUUCCAACUGUUAUUUCAUGUUUAUUCUCCCAACAAGAAUGAUACUAUAUUUAUUUCUAUUCUACAGAUGGGGAAACUAAGGGGCUUAAAUAAACUUAGACUCGACUCGAUGGCCAAUGAGAGGUCUCUGAUAGUGGCCGAACUGGGGAGUAGCUUGCGAGUAAUGAUAAUGGAGUAAGAUUGGCCUGGUGGUGGUGUCCAGGGUGCUGGAGAACAUUGCCCAUCUACUUCCUGAGGAGUCAAGAGAGGACGUGAACCAUGGCGACCUUAGGACACUGAAUGAUGAUCUCUGACCUAGGGAGUCAGCUCGUGACUCAGGGCCCCUGAGGCCAUGCCCAGGUCAGGAUUGGGGAAGGAGAAGAUGAUCUAAGGACAUCAGACCUGCCCCCAGGCUCAAGAACACCCAGCAGCGUGCCCUCAGGAGGCUUGCUGGACUCUGGGAUGGCUGCCUAGAAGAUGCUGGUUAGAAGGUAUGAAAGCAUGGCAAUAUUUUCUGGAACAAUGUAUUGGGAAGAUGGGUGGAGGAGCGGGGAGUGGAUGAGGUUAAGAAGGAAUGAAGAGGAGUAGAUUAGUAGUUUCCAAAAGGGGAAGUUCAGUGAGUAGGUAUGGCUACUCUUAAAAGAAGCUGUGGGUUUUAUAGUUUGUGGGUUUUAUUAAAGGUCUAAGUUUUGAGGUCAAAUCUGGAUUCAUAUUUCUGCCUCCACCACUUACUGUGUAACUCACGUGACUUGCUUGAGCCUCGUUUUACUCUUCUGUCAAAUGAGGUUAAUAAUAAACUCUUGAGGUUGUUGUAAAACUUAAAAUGAAAUCAUAUAAAGAGCCUGCACAGAGUAAGAAAUCAAAGGAUGACAAUGGAAAACCAACCAAAUCAGGUGGUAGCUGGCCGUGGGCAUCAGCAGGGGUCCAUGGGCUCAGGGCCUUGGGUAGGAUGUGUCAAGUCUAUGUCACAUAGUAGACACACAAUAUAGGGCUUCAGAUGGCUGGCAUUAGUCAUAGGAGAGCUGCAAAGAGUCACACACAAGCACACCCUCACACUCACACUCACAACAGAUAAGAUUGCUUAAGUUUGCCUCAGUCCCAGGGAUGAAUAACAGGUCUGCAGACCAGUGUGUUUCCCCAGCCAUGUCGCCAGGAAGGAUGGCCCACAGGAUCCCAGAGAGCCCUGAGCAGAGGGGGAUUUUAGAAGGAAGCUUACUGAAAAGCAUAGGUUCCCAUGGCUGUGAAGGAUGCUGGAAGAAAGGAAAGUAACACUGGCGUGGCAGCCCAAC